GAGGAUAUGCUGCUGGAGGACUGAGGAAUACAAGUGUUAACAGACCUCAGGAGGAAGGUCCUGUGGUCAAGGAUUGCUGGUUCCUAUUCUAUAGUGAUAACCCUACAUGCGUCCUGUUGUGAUGUCACAGCCACUAUAGAACUCCAUUGGAGCUUCUACCAUCUCUGCUGCUGUUGCAGCCUUUAGGGGUCUCCCCUCCAUGCCCGUGGAACACCUGAGCCAGAUAAGGAAGAGAAUGUUCAAUGAGAUCCUGCAAGCCAGUGCUGCAUCAGACCAUGAGUAAAGGACCUGGAAGAUGAGUAUUGCAGACAGCCUGGAGAAGAAUGGAGCAGACAAGAGAGAGGCCCUGGAGUACCAGCAGGAAAAGGAAAGGGAGAUGCACCAGCACAUAAUGAGGCUUCUUCAGCAGCAAACACAGAUGCUGCAGACUCUUGUGUACCUUCAGGUUCAACAAUCAUGGUCUCCCCUUCCUUUGCAGUCCAUGGAGAACUCCAUGACAGCACCUCCCUAUGCCCCCCCCCUCAACAUUCCACAUAGUAUCAGGGGCCAUAUUCCUACCCCACCACUCUACCUUGGGGAACAUUAGGGACAACCAUAGCUCCACAUACACUGACCUGUGAAAGCCACAGUUGCUGUAUGUGUAGGUAAAAUAGAUGUGAAUGUUCCUUCUCCUUGUUAAGUUCUGUUCCAUUAAUUUAUUAAGUUUUUAUAUAGUUGCUUUUAAAUUGCACAGAUUUUAAUUUGCACUGGUUUUGUUACUGUUCCCAACAUAUGCUGCAGAGUACACAGCAGUUCUGAAAGUACCUGCUUACAUGUUAAUGUACAAUGUGACACAACUCAUAGGCUCAGUGACAAAUACAAUGUAAGAAUGAUAAGUACAACAAGCACAGCAAAAUUAAUAGGUGCAUUGACAGUGUGAUAUUCAUACACAAACACCAAGUGCCACAGAAUUCCUAACAGGCCCCAAAACCAGGAAGAGUACAGUCCACCACAUUGCAUUACUGUGGCUCACUGUUAAAAUGCUCUUUCAAAGCCUUCCUGAGUCAUAUAGCUCUGCAUUGAAUCUUCUAAUAGCCCUUAUGUCCGGCUGUUCAGAUAGCCACCUUCUGUCCUGGCAGCAACUGUUCCCCUUUGCUUCAGAGAUAUUAUGCAGGACAGAGCAGGCAGCUAUAACCAUUGGGAUGUUUUUCUGACUGAGAUCCAAUCUUGUGAGUAAACAAUGCCAGUGUCUCGUCAAUCUACCAAAAGUGCAUCCAACUGUCACUCUGCACCUGCUGAACCAGUAGCUGAAACUUUCCUUGGUGCUGUAGAAGUGGCUGGUGUACAGCUUCAUGAGUGAGGGGAGCAAGAGGUGGGCUAAGUACCCAGGAUCACUAUUGGCAUUUCAACAUUGCCAAUGGUAAUCUGCCAGUUGGGAAAGGAAGUCCCUACUUACAUCUUUCUGAACGGUCCUGUGCUCUUAAAGCUGAGAGCGUUAUGCAUUUUCCAUGACCAGCCAACAUUCAUGCUGGUGAAGAAUCUUGGUAAUCCUCCAACGCUUGCAUAACCAUGGAAAAGUAGCCCUUUCAACUGAGGCACUCUAUUGCAAAGUGAGUUGAUGUCAUAAUAGAGAUAUGACACCAUCUACUGCUCCACCACUGUUCAGGAACCCCAUUACUGCCAGUCCAUCCACUAUAUCCUGCACAUUAUUGAGAGUCACAGUCCUGCAUAGCAGGAUACAAUUAUUGGCCCUGCACACUUACAUGACAACUGCCCUCACAAUGGAUUUUCCAACUCUAAAAUGAUUGUCCAGUGACUGGUAGCAUUCCGGUGCUGCAAGUUUCCACAGUGUGAUCACUACUCUUUUCUCUAAUAUCAGUGCAGUUCUCAUAGUGGUGCCUCUGUGCUGGAGGGCUGGGGUGAGCUUGCACACAGAUCUAGGAAUGUGGCCUUUUGCAUCUGGAUGCGCUGCAGCCACUGAUUGUCAUCCCAAAACAGUAUUAUGAUGCAAUCCACCAGUCAAUGCUCGUUUCUUGGGCCCAGAAGUGGUGCUCCACCAUCUGCAACUGCUCUGUGAACAUCACCAACAACCUUGAAUUGGUUCUCGCUAUGUCCCACAACAAUCUCUCCUCCAAGAAAUUGUUAUAUUCCACCCUUAUUUGUUUCUCCUUACAGCUCUGCAAAUGCUGGAGGUUCUUGCAAUGCUUAUGACAAUAGCAUUAGUUCUCCUUACAGCUCUGCAAAUGCUAGAGGUUCUUGCAACGCUUAUGACACUAGUGCAGAGCUGUGUAAGCUCCAUGCUUCUGUCAGAGAUGGUGGACAGCAAGAAGGCUGCACGGGUUCAUGGUUUUUUUUUAAAGUGCAAAAAUUAUGGGAUACAAGUGACAUUAUUGGAUGUGGACAGUUACAUACUGGGAAAUUGACCUUUUGCUCCCAGUCAGCCCUUUGUGACUCAUUUCUACCCCACCAUGCAUUGCCAAAAGCUUCCCAAGCACAGUGCGCCAGAAGGUGGUGGGUUGCACGCUGGGAUGCCUACCAUAGAGCACCACACUGUGCACUGACACAAGCAGUCCUGGUGAGUAUGCACAGUGCCGACGGAAGGAGCCAAGUGUGUACAUGCACAAAUGAUAUACUAAGUAUGGCGGCUUUCUGCUGAUGUAAUGUCUAUCAAUCAAAGUUUGUAGUGUAGACAUGGCCUGAGUCAUGUAUACCAACAAUUAGUCCUUGAUGAGGUUUCAAAAGAUCGCUAGUAACCAUAAACACCAGUAAGGGUUUAUUUCUUGAUAUAAGUUACCAUUUAGAGUGUUACUCACUUCUGUCAUUCUUAGCACAUUGUGGAAACCAUCUGACAGUGUUUGGUUAAUUGGCUCUAUAUAUUGUCAUUAUUAUUGUGACAGAUUAAACAGAACAAAAGCAUCUCAGAUUGCUACAAGAAGUGAUAACAAGCUAUGACAGGGGUCCAGAUAAGAAAGGAUAAAUGUCUUUCACAAGAAAAAGGUAGACUAAUUGGGCACUGUGCUAGGUGACACCGGAAUUCAUCCCAUUGACAAGAAAGUUAAGGAAAGAAAUUAAAAAGACUUGAGAUCCUUAGACCACUAUAAUUAAGGACUGUUUGUUUUUCCAUAUCACAACCAUUGUAUAAGUUGGUGUAUAAAGGGAUUGAAUGGAUAUAGGAUCCAGAACAAGAGGAAGCUUUCACAAAAACUAAAGACCUGCAGUACUUCUGUGGUAGGCCAUUAUGGGGCAUUGCAAGCCACGCAUUCUACCAUUUUUUUUUUAUAACUCAUGUGCUUCUGUUAGUGAGACUCUUCAGCCUAUCCAGUAUUUGACUUGACUGAGCCUUUUGCCAGUUUAGGAAAUUGGAUAGUACUAUAGCGUUAUUGUAUGUUUUAGCACCUGUUGUUAUUGUCAAUACCCAGGGAUAGUGACAAUUGUCCUUUGGUUUCUGGUACGUGCUGUUCUUUCUGGUUUCUCUAUGAUUAAUUGUUUCUCCUGCUCUAAACCUGUUGUCUUUACAUUCUGAAUUAUUUUCUAACUCUAGGAAAGUUAGUGAAUCAUCUGUCCAGUACUUCUCUAUGGGAGAAAUUUAUUCAAAGUCAUGAGGUUUUACAACUGUAUCAACUCUCUUUUCU